rnacentral:rRNA from 1 species
AGAGUUGAUCAUGGCUCAGGAUGAACGCUAGCGACAGGCUUAACACAUGCAAGUCGAGGGCAGCAUAAAAGUAGCAAUACUUGGUGGCGACCGGCGCACGGGUGAGUAACGCGUAUGCAACCUACCUAUCAGAGGGGAAUAACCCGGCGAAAGUCGGACUAAUACCGCAUAAAACAGGGGCACCGCAUGGUGAUAUUUGUUAAAGAAAUUCGCUGAUAGAUGGGCAUGCGUUCCAUUAGGUAGUUGGUGAGGUAACGGCUCACCAAGCCGACGAUGGAUAGGGGAACUGAGAGGUUGGUCCCCCACACUGGUACUGAGACACGGACCAGACUCCUACGGGAGGCAGCAGUGAGGAAUAUUGGUCAAUGGGCGAGAGCCUGAACCAGCCAAGUCGCGUGAAGGAAGAAGGAUCUAUGGUUCGUAAACUUCUUUUGCAGGGGAAUAAAGUGCAGGACGUGUCCUGUUUUGUAUGUACCCUGAGAAUAAGGAUCGGCUAACUCCGUGCCAGCCGCAGC